rnacentral:rRNA from 1 species
UACGAAGGGGGCAAGCGUUGUUCGGAUUUACUGGGCGUAAAGGGCGCGUAGGCGGUCAGCACAAGUCAGUUGUGAAAUCUCCGAGCUUAACUCGGAAAGGUCAACUGAUACUGUGCGACUAGAGUGCAGAAGGGGCAACUGGAAUUCUUGGUGUAGCAGUGAAAUGCGUAGAUAUCAAGAGGAACACCUGCGGCGAAGGCGGGUUGCUGGGCUGACACUGACGCUGAGGCGCGAAAGCCAGGGGAGCGAACGGG